rnacentral:rRNA from 1 species
CUCGUAGGUGGCCAACUAAGUCAGACGUGAAAUCCCCAGGCUUAACCUGGGAACUGCGUCUGAUACUGGAUGGCUUGAAUUCGGGAGAGGGAUGCAGAAUUCCAGGUGUAGCGGUGAAAUGCGUAGAUAUCUGGAGGAAUACCGGUGGCGAAGGCGGCAUCCUGGACCGAGAUUGACACUGAGGAGCGAAAGCUAGGGGAAGCGAAACG